GCCGUGUGCUGAUGCAGUCGGUUAUUCACAUUAUUAUUGUUCGUAACACAUUACAGCGGUCUACACGAUGAUAAUACCUAUAUAAUAUUGUUUACAUAUAUUCUGUGCGAUCAGUGUAAUUGUAGUGUAUUGAUUAUUAUGAUCAAUGAACCGUAAAAAAUUAUGUGUGUGAUUUUGAAAUCAAAUAUUAUUUCGUUACAGUCAAUGGCCCCCAAUCGAGUACCAAUUUCUUCUGUGGGCCGAUAACAAAAGUUAUUAAAAACGUUUCAAAUACACACCAUCGUUUUAAUUACACAAUAUUUGCUGUCGAUAAGCGUUUUCGUUGUUUGUUCUGUACUUGCAAUUUAAAAUAUUAUUCAAACAUCAAAAGCGGGAACACAACAUGUAUAAUGUACCGCAUGACUGUAUAGUUGGACAAUUAAAAAGCAAUGAUGAACUCGGUCUGCUCGCUUGUUGAAAUUCACCGCACUAUAUGAGCAAAAUAUAUUUUGGAGUACUUACGGAGAUUAUAGUAAUCAAAUUUCGGACAAACAGUUCAUUUGUUACACGAUGGUAUUUAAUUAUAUGAACGGAGUAGUGGAAAAACAUUUUCCCAUUAGCAGUACACCCUCAUAAAAACUAGAAAUGCAUAUUACUUGUUUCGGCUCAGUUUGUGGUUUUAUUGAAAAAAAUGAGCCGAAACAUUGGUCCUAACGAACCGGAUCAGAACGUGAGCGUCAAUAGUGUUACACACAUUGUAGCCAAUUUGACUUACAAGUCCAUGGUAGAAGAUUAAGGAGCUGUGCAAUUCAAGGAUGAAGACAACUGACCAGAUGAGUGAGUCUAGCAAUUUAGCACCUAUUUAAGUGAAAACGGCUUUAUUUCCAUAAAUUAUAACUAUAAUCCUAUCCUUGUGUUAAAAUAAAAAUUGUUGGGAAAUAUAUUUAAGUCUACAUUCACCAUAUCAUUUUAUCAAUAAAAACGUUAGAUAGUGGGUAAAGGUCGAUCAUAAUGCCUGAUGAAAAUAACGAAUUGGCCUCAUUCGUUCUACGUCGUGGACAGGUAAAAGCGCAGCUCACUCGUUUCCAGACAUUUCUGAAUGAGCCAAAAUCCAAUGUUACAACGCAAUUAAGAUUAAGAGCCGAGAAAAUUCGUGAAGCAUGGAGCGAAUUCAAUGCAAUUCAAAACAAUAUCGACAUGUUAGACGUUAGAAAUAAUGAUCAAUUACAAUAUAGGUCUGCAUUUGAAGAUCUGUAUUUCGAUUUAAUGACACAAGUCGACAUUAGAUUGACGGGAAAUAACGCAAUCGCGGAAGGUCGACACUGUAUACAGGGCGAUCAAAGUGAAGUCACAAAAAAUGCCGCAGACCCAAUUAUCCGGGAAAUAUUGACGUUCUUAUCGGAGGUAAUACUUAUUGGGACAUAAUGUGUGAUGAGAAGUUAAAAACCAAAGACGGUCCGUAUUUGCAAAAAACGUUAUUCGGAUAUGAAGUCGUAGGAAAAACUUUGACAAAAUGAAGUACGAGAAAAUUAAAUUCGUGUUUGAUAACAACUCAAAAUCAAUACCAAUUGUGGUAUAACAAAAUAGAGUUAUUUUGGAAAAUGGAAGAACCAUCGUCGAAGCAUAAUUUCACUGACGAAGAAAGGUCGUAUAUAACACAUUUUAACGAAAACCUCGCUCAAAAUGAGGACGGUAGAUUUAUAGUUGAACUACCAUUCAAAGAAAGUUGUCAUCAGCUGGGUAACUCAUACACCUCAGCUCUCCGAAGAUUUCUAUCUGCAGAAAUAGGUUAACAAAGAAUCCCGAACUAUACAUGAAGUAUAAAAUGUUUAUGAGAGAGUACGAAAGUCUCAAAUUCUCAAUCAUAUAGAAUGUGUUUAUGAUACCGGCGGCGAUAAGCAGUUAAUCGAUCACACGAAAUGUUUUUAUCAACCGCACUCGUAUGUAAUUAACGACCGUGGUUGAACGACAAAGUUACGCGUCGUUUGUGAUGGGUCGGCAAAAACUAAUAGUGGUGUGUCAUUAAAUGACAUACUAAUGAACGGACCAAAAAUACAAACAGACCUAUUAGAUAUCGUGGUAAGGUUAAGAACACAUAAAUAUGCAUUUCGGAGGACAUAAAAAAAAUUUAUCGUCAGGUGUUAGUUCACAAAGACCAUCGUAACUCUCAGCGUGGAUUAUGGAGAUCAGAUCCAAAUGAAUAAUUAUGAAGUAAAAGUAUAUAGACUAUAUUAUGUACUGUUACUUACGGUUUGGUGUCGGCAGGUUUUUUGGCAAUAAGUUGCGUCAAUCGCACCGGCGAUAAGACCACUAACACGAAGUUAAAAGAAAUAAUAAAAAAUUAUUUCUGUGUCGACGAUUGCCUCACCGGGGCAGAUUCAUUGAUGGAAGCAAUUGAAUUGUGUGACGAAUUAAUUUCAAUUAUGCGAGGUGGUGGAUUAGAAUUAUCAAAAUGGACUAUGAACCAUACGGAUUUAUCCCCGAAUCAAAACAAAGAUAAAUUAACGACCAUACAUACCAUUGGAUAGAGAAAGCGUGAAAACUCUAAGUUUAUACUGGGAACCGAAAAGUGUUUACUACACGUAUGUGUCGUACAAGUACCGAAAGUAAAAACUGAAACAACAAAAAGACAUAUUCUUGCCGGCCUAGCACGGAUAUUAAUACCGAACAACGAUUUCCAAUUAUGUUACCUAAAGAAACGAAUUUUGUAAAAUUAAUUAUGCUAUACAUGAACAUAAAAAAUUAAUGCAUGCCGGACCACAUGCUACGCUCGCAUCAGAACGUCUGAAAUACUGGCCAAUCAAUGGGUGGAGGUGGGCAAGAAAGGUAAUACAUCAGUGCGUUACAUGUUUCAAAGCUCAGCCAAAAAAUGUGUCGCUUGCUAUGGGUAAUCUGCCCGCGCUCCGAGCCCACCGUUCAGUAGGUGCUUUGAAAACUAUAGUGAUGUGGAUUACGCAAGUCCAUUCAUGUUAAAAUGCAGUAACAGACGAAAAGCAGAAAGGCAUACAUAUGCGUAUUUGUGUGUUUUGCAACAAAGGCGGUGCAU